rnacentral:rRNA from 1 species
UACGUAGGUGGCAAGCGUUAUCCGGAAUUACUGGGCGUAAAGCGCUCGCAGGCGGUCUUGUAAGUUUGACGUGAAAGCUCCCGGCUUAACUGGGAGAGGUCGUUGAAGACUGCAAGACUUGAGGCAAUGAGAGGGGUGUAGAAUUCCCGGUGUAGUGGUGGAAUGCGUAGAUAUCGGGGGGAAUACCAGUGGCGAAAGCGGCACCCUAGCGUUAGCCUGACGCUCAUGAGCGAAAGCGUGGGGAGCGAACGGG